GUGCCUACGGGGCGCAGCAGUGAGGAAUAUUGGUCAAUGGGCGUAAGCCUGAACCAGCCAAGUCGCGUGAGGGACGACGGCCCUACGGGUUGUAAACCUCUUUUGCCGGGGGACAAACGGCGGCACGCGUGCCGUCCUGAGGGUACCCGGAGAAAAAGCAUCGGCUAACUCCGUGCCAGCAGCCGCGGUAAUACGGAGGAUGCGAGCGUUAUCCGGAUUUAUUGGGUUUAAAGGGUGCGUAGGCGGGCUUUUAAGUCAGCGGUAAAAAUUCGGGGCUCAACCCCGUCCGGCCGUUGAAACUGGGG
rnacentral:rRNA from 1 species